rnacentral:rRNA from 1 species
CUACGGGAUUCUGCAGUGGGGAAUAUUGGACAAUGGGCGAAAGCCUGAUCCAGCCAUGCCGCGUGUGUGAAGAAGGCCUUCGGGUUGUAAAGCACUUUCAGUGGGGAAGAAAGCCUUGGGGCUAAUACCCUCGAGGAAGGACAUCACCCACAGAAGAAGCACCGGCUAACUCCGUGCCAGCAGCCGCGGUAAUACGGAGGGUGCGAGCGUUAAUCGGAAUUACUGGGCGUAAAGCGCGCGUAGGCGGUCUGAUAAGCCGGUUGUGAAAGCCCCGGGCUCAACCUGGGAACGGCAUCCGGAACUGUCAGGCUAGAGUGCAGGAGAGGAAGGUAGAAUUCCCGGUGUAGCGGUGAAAUGCGUAGAGAUCGGGAGGAAUACCAGUGGCGAAGGCGGCCUUCUGGACUGACACUGACGCUGAGGUGCGAAAGCGUGGGUAGCAAACAGGAUUAGAUACCCUAGUAGUC